UCAGUGUCUAUCAUGGUAUUGUAGUCCUUGUAUUCAUCAACUGUUACGGGCCAAGAAGGGAUUCCAAAUUCGGGUUUUUCAAGGCAGUUCUAACAAGUAACAAAGUAAUAAAUUGCAGUGUGAGAAGUUAAGUAUAAGCUAAGCAUUCUAACGACUAUGGAUAGAUGAAAUGCAUUUUGAAUGGCAGGUCUAACUUCUAACAGCUCAUGAGGAUCUCCACC
rnacentral:lncRNA from 1 species